AUGCUGGGGCUAGAGCUAACUGGUCUCGCUCCGGCCACCUCGCCAUGCUCUCCAGCAAAUCCCGGCAUGACGGACAAGUUCUUCGAAGUGGAGAUGGCCGUCCAUGAGAACGAACUUGACGAGUAUGGAGUUGUUAACAACGCCAUUUAUGUUGCUUACAUCCACAACGCUCGAGAGGAUCUGGCUGCGAGCAUUGGCUUCAGCAUGGCCUCCAUAGCACGCACCGGCAACGCGAUGGCACUUCUGGAGCUGAACCUCAAGUACCUCAAGCCUCUACGACGAGGUGCCAAGUUUGUCGUCAAGGUUAGGAUUGUCCAAAUAAAGGGCGCGAGGAUACUCGUUGAUCACUUCAUCGAGACGCUGCCGGAUCAUAAGCUUGUAUUGGAAGCGACAGCGACCAUCGUCUGCCUCAACAAGGACUACCGUCCGACCCGCGUCUUCCCAGAGAUGUCAUCUAAGCUGCAUCAGUUCUUCUCAUCCAAGGAUGGUUAG
rnacentral:rRNA from 1 species